GAUGAAGAACGCAGCGAAAUGCGAUAAGUAAUGUGAAUUGCAGAAUUCAGUGAAUCAUCGAAUCUUUGAACGCACAUUGCGCCCGCCAGUAUUCUGGCGGGCAUGCCUGUUCGAGCGUCAUUUCAACCAUCAAGCCCCAGGCUGGUGUUGGGGACCUGCGGCUGCCGCAGGCCCUGAAAACCAGUGGCGGGCUCGCUGUCACACCGGGCGUAGUAGAUUUUAUCUCUCUCAGGGCGUGCUGCGGGUUCCGGCCGUUAAAAAGCCUUUUUUACCCAAGGUUGACCUCGGAUCAGGUAGGAAGGCCCGCUGAACUUAAGCAUAUCAAUAAGCGGAGGA
rnacentral:misc_RNA from 1 species